rnacentral:lncRNA from 1 species
GAUAUCAUUGAAAGGGGAUCAGGAAGAUGCCAAAUUACAACAACAUAAAUUAUGUUAGCUCCUGUACAAAAGACAAAAAACAUUGUAAGCUCAAGAAUGCCUAUGCUAGAACCAGGGAGCUAACAAAAUCCAAAAAAGUAUGGACGCUAUUAACAGGGGAAAGAAAGUUCCAACUGAACAAACUAACUAAACAUAUAGCUUUUAGGGAAUGUGUUGGAGUUGAUAUUCCAUCAAAAAAUCUAUCAUUUCUUUCCUUCCAAACAAUCCAAAAUAUGACUACUGGGGUCAUUCUCCAUAUUCUUUUGAUGGCUUUGUCAACUCUCCAAAAAAUCCAGCUAAUAUAGGCUUCUUUGAUGGUGUGAGGCAUGAUCCAAGUUAUACCAAAAAUGGAUAGCAAAAAGUUUCAAAUAUCGGUAGAGACUUGGCAAUGAAGAAACAAAUGGUUAACACUUUCUGAUCUCUGUUGGCACAUAUAACAUCUGUUAACUAAAGUAAUGGUCCUUCUAAGAUUGUCAUAUGUUAAAAUGACUUCAUUGAGGGCAGUCCAUGUGGGCAUGCUACUUUGAGUGGCAUUCUGGUCCUCCAGAUAUGUUUCUAGGGCCAAUCAUCUAGUAUUCCAUUAUGUGAGCAAAUAAGGUUGUAGCCCUCUUUGACUGUGUACUUUCCUUCUUUUGAAUUUCCCCGGAUGAUUCUGUAUGGUUGUUGAUUCUUCCGUGAUGAAAUCUCCCGGUGUGGCUAGGAGAGCAAGUAAGUCAUUGAUUUCCCAAUCCUGAAGAUUUCUUCUAAACACUAGAUUCCAAAUGUUGUUUUCUCUGUUUUGAGCAAUAUUUGAGUCCUGAUUGCAGGCUAUUAGGUACAGACGUGGGUAUGAAUCCUUGGGUAUGAAUCCUUUAGUGCUGUAUUACCAAGCCAUAUGUCUUUCUAGAAUUUCACAUGAACACCACUACCAACUUUGAAUGAUGUAUUUUGAAGGAAAUAAUUUUGAAAGCUGCUUAUGUGUUUCCAUAAAGCCACUCCAUGAGGUGCUGACUUUUCUUGGGGCUCUGUGAUUCUGAAUUCCAUAUUUGGCGUCAAUGAUCUCCUUCCAGUAUGUCCAUACCUCCAUAGCCAUUUCAUUAGCAUACAUUCGUUGUGAAGCCUAAGAUUCCUGAUACCCAAUCCCCCAUAAGACUUUGGUUGAGUUACU